AUAGAGGGUGAUAGUCCCGUAUGCGAAAAACAAACCUUAGCUAGCAGUAUCCUGAGUAGGGCGGGACACGAGGAAUCCUGUCUGAAUCCGGGUCGACCACGAUCCAACCCUAAAUACUAAUACCAGAUCGAUAGUGCACAAGUACCGUGAGGGAAAGGUGAAAAGAACUGAGGUGAUCAGAGUGAAAUAGAACCUGAAACCAUUUGCUUACAAUCAUUCAGAGCCCUAUGUAGCAAUACAGGGUGAUGGACUGCCUUUUGCAUAAUGAGCCUGCGAGUUGUGGUGUCUGGCAAGGUUAAGCAAACGCGAAGCCGUAGCGAAAGCGAGUCUGAAUAGGGCGCUUAGUCAGAUGCUGCAGACCCGAAACGAAGUGAUCUAUCCAUGAGCAAGUUGAAGCUAGUGUAAGAACUAGUGGAGGACU
rnacentral:rRNA from 1 species